AACCCUCGCUGUGUGUUACAAGUGUCACACGGGAACUGCCGGUCAUAAACCGGAGGAAGGUGGGGAUGACGUCAAGUCAGCAUGGCCUUUAUAUCCUGGGCUACACACACGCUACAAUGGGAAGGGACAAUAGGUUGCGAAGCCGCGAGGUGGAGCCAAUCCAGCAAAACUUCCCUCAGUUCAGAUUGCAGGCUGCAACUCGUCUGCAUGAAGUUGGAGUUGCUAGUAAACGCAGGUCAGCCAUACUGCGUUGAAUACGUUCCCGGGGCCUU
rnacentral:rRNA from 1 species